GGCAUGGCCAGUUCCCAAGGUCACUACAAGGCUGAGGCUCAGCCCUCUGAGUCCUCCAGCUGAGCCUGCUUCCCCACCUAAGGGAUAAGGAACAAGCUCAGGAAAUAUUUCAUACUUGAAUAGCUGUUUCUGGAUGGCUGAAGAAAAGCACUGUUGAUGCAUGCCAGAGAUAAAACAGAAGUAAAACAUGUCUGUAAUGCUUUUUCCUGAUUAAAUGUGAUCAGCGAUACCCACGAGGUGAGAUGUGCAUAUUGUCCAUGAGAGGAUCAAGAGAAGACAAGCACUCUAAUGGUCUGUUUCUAAAGGGACCAAGGCUUACAUCACCAUCUGUUUCCUCCUGACUGUGCUAUUGAAUUCCAGGCCAUCUUUGAUACAGCAGGAAGAGUCUAGAAAUCAGGCAAGUUCCACCAAGUUUUGAAAACUCAGUGACUAUGCAUGAAAUGAGUGCUCAUUGGGCAGCGAUGCUGUUGUCAGUGUCUGGUUGUGCUUCCGUGUAGUAGUGGCUCUAAUGCAUUCCCCAACCUGGUU
rnacentral:lncRNA from 1 species